ensembl:snRNA U6 U6 spliceosomal RNA
AUGCUCACUUCAACAGCACAUGCACUAAAAUUGCAACAAUACAGACAAUAGCAUGUUCCCUGCUCAAGGACGACACACAAAUUUGUGAAGCACUCCAUAUUUUC